UACGUAGGUGGCGAGCGUUGUCCGGAUUUACUGGGCGUAAAGGGAGCGUAGGCGGACUUUUAAGUGAGAUGUGAAAUACCCGGGCUCAACUUGGGUGCUGCAUUUCAAACUGGAAGUCUAGAGUGCAGGAGAGGAGAAUGGAAUUCCUAGUGUAGCGGUGAAAUGCGUAGAGAUUAGGAAGAACACCAGUGGCGAAGGCGAUUCUCUGGACUGUAACUGACGCUGAGGCUCGAAAGCGUGGGGAGCAAACAGGGUUAGAUACCCUGGUA
rnacentral:rRNA from 1 species